rnacentral:rRNA from 1 species
UGCCAGACUCCUACGGGAGGCAGCAGUGGGGAAUAUUGCACAAUGGGGGGAACCCUGAUGCAGCGACGCCGCGUGGGUGAAGGAGUACUUCGGUACGUAAAGCCCUAUCAGCAGGAAAGAAAAUGACGGUACCUGACUAAGAAGCCCCGGCUAACUACGUGCCAGCAGCCGCGGUAAUACGUAGGGGGCAAGCGUUAUCCGGAUUUACUGGGUGUAAAGGGAGCGUAGACGGCAAUACAAGUCGGAAGUGAAAUACCCGGGCUCAACCUGGGAACUGCUUUGGAAGCUGUAUGGCUAGAGUGCUGGAGAGGUAAGCGGAAUUCCUAGUGUAGCGGUGAAAUGCGUAGAUAUUAGGAGGAACACCAGUGGCGAAGGCGGCUUACUGGACAGUAACUGACGUUGAGGCUCGAAAGCGUGGGGAGCAAACAGGAUUAGAUACCCGCGUAGC